UAAUAUAUAUAUCUGGUGUACAAAAAAAAUGUUUGCUCCUCAUGUUUGUGGUAUAACAUCUUUGCUGCAAGUUAAAGUUUAUUGUUUUUUUUCUGUUUAGUAUAAAAUUCAUAUUAACAUCCAUUUUGUAACAUCUUGUGAUCAAUUUAUUUGGCAAUCGCCAAUGGCAGUCAGCAGGGUUAACCCGUUUAAGAACAUCAGUUGUUCGACCUGGUAGUCAAAUGCGUUUUGUUAAAAUAUACUUUCAACUUUUUUGGUCUUUUGGAAAAUGUUGUUUGUGCUGUAUUUAGACCCUUCUUCAACGAAAUUUGUUUUACAUGCACACGUAUAAAAAUUGUGCGGUUUUUAUCCAACGCAAUCAUAGGUUUGAACGUAGUUUUCAAUUUAGACUUGUUUAUAUUUUUUCGUUUGGGCUUGUAUCAUAUUUUCCCAACAGUUUAUAUGAUCCGUUCAUCCUACUUUGACUGUUUAAAUUCAAGAGUCUAUGAUCCUAAAUUGAGAUAAAUUAUAUGGCAUUCAAAUACCGUUUCGAUCCCUAACAUCACUGAAGAGACAUUUAUUGUCGAAAUCCGGAUCUGGUGUACAAAAAAAUUGUUUGCACCUCAUGUUUGUGGUAUAACAUCUUUGCUGCAAGUUUAUUGUUUUUCUGUAUAGUAUAAAAUUCAUAUUUAGAUCCAUUUUGUUACAUCUUGUGAUCAAUUUAUUUGGCAAUCGCCAAUGGCAGUCAGCAGGGUUUAAGAACAUCAGUUGUUCGACCUGGUAGUCAAAUGCGUUUUGUUAAAAU
rnacentral:lncRNA from 1 species